rnacentral:rRNA from 1 species
UACGUAGGGUGCGAGCGUUGUCCGGAAUUAUUGGGCGUAAAGAGCUUGUAGGCGGUCUGUCGCGUCUGCUGUGAAAAUCCGGGGCUCAACCCCGGACUUGCAGUGGGUACGGGCAGACUAGAGUGUGGUAGGGGAGACUGGAAUUCCUGGUGUAGCGGUGAAAUGCGCAGAUAUCAGGAGGAACACCGAUGGCGAAGGCAGCACUCUGGGACGUGACUGACGCUGAGACGCGAAAGCGUGGGGAGCAAACAGG